CCUACGGUAGGCAGCAGUGGGGAAUAUUGGGCAAUGAGCGCAAGCCUGACCCAGCAACGCCGCGUGAGGGAAGAAGGCUUUCGGGUUGUAAACUUCUUUUCUUAGGGACUAAGAAAGUGACGGUACCUGAGGAAUAAGCCAUGGCUAAAUACGUGCCAUCAGCCGCGGCAAUACGGGGGUCGCAAGCGUUAUGCGGAAUUAUUGGGUUUAAAGGGCGUGUUGGGGGGAGCGGAAGUCCGGUGUGAAAACGCAGGGGUCAACCCUGAGCCUGCAUUUGAAACUGUGUUUCUUGAGUGCUAGAGAGGCAAUCGGAAUUCCGGGUGUAGCGGUGAAAUGCGUAGAUAUACGGAAGAACACCAGUGGCGAAGGCAGAUUGCUGGAGAGUAACUGACGCUGAGGCGCGAAAGCGUGGGGAGCAAACAGGAUUAGAUACCCCAGUAGUC
rnacentral:rRNA from 1 species